rnacentral:lncRNA from 1 species
AUGAGGCCGGUUGGCUGGGCGGGUCCCCUUGACAGAGGUGCGGGGCCCCCGGGAGCCUGCGCUGCAGGCCCCGCCCGAGGACCUCGCAGGCAGGGCCGAAUUUACUCAUCCCCGGGCGAGGUGAUCCCGGGCGCGAGGGCGGGCGCAGGGCGUCCGGAGGACCCAGUAAUCCGAGAACGCAGCAUCAGCCCUUCCCACCAGGCACUUCCUUCCUUUUCCCGAACGUCCAGGGAGGGGGACCGCUCACUUAUAAACUCGGGCCCGAGCCUGGUGGCCUGUCAGAGACUGCCUCGCCACAGCCGGACGCGCCGGGUCGGAGACAGACGCGAGCAGCUGUCGCCGCGGGCUCCCCGCCUCUUUCUGCCCCGGCCGGGACCCUGUGCGCCGCGUGCGGACACUAUGCUGCGCGUCCUGCUCCUCGGCGUGCUGGCCCCCGCGGGCCUGGGGCUCCCGGCGCCCCCUGAGCCUCAGCCCCUCGGCGGCCAGUGCGUCGAUCUCGACUGCUUCGCCGUCUUCCGGGGCCCCGCGACUUUCCUCGCCGCCAGCCGAGUCUGCGAGCGCUUGCAGGGCCACCUGAUGACCGUGCGCUCCUCGGUGGCCGAAGAUGUCAUCUCCCUGCUCCUGAGCGGCGACGGUCUGCGCCUCUGGAUCGGUCUGCAGCGCCCGCCGGGCUGCGACGACCCAGAGCACUCCGGGCCCUUGCGCGGCUUCCAGUGGGUGACGGGCGACAACCGCACCAGCUUCAGCAGGUGGGCGAGACCUCGCGACGACGGGGAGCGCCUAUGCGGUCCGCUGUGCGUCGCCGUUUCGGCUGCGGCCGGGGAGCUGGCACCGGGAGAGCCCGCCUGGGAGGAGCGGCCGUGCGACGCGGAGGCUGACGGCUUCCUCUGCGAGUUCCACUUCGCCGCCUCCUGCCGGCCGCUGGCUGUGGAGCCUGGCGCCACGGCGGCCGCGGGGCUCUCGAUCACCUAUGGCACCCCUUUCGGAGCCCGCGGCGCAGACUUUCAGGCGCUGCCGCUGGGCAGCACCGCCGCGGUGGCGCCCCUCGGGGUGGAGCUGGAGUGCGCGGCGCCGCUGGGAGAGACCGAGGGGCGCUGGAGCAGGGAAGCCCCAGGUGCCUGGGCCUGCGGCGUCGAGCGCGGCGGCUGCCAGCACGAGUGCAAGGCGAGUGACGGGGCCUCGAACUGCCUGUGCCCGGCGGACGCCGCCCUGCAGGCGGACGGGCGCUCCUGCGGGCCGCCGGCCGAGCACCCGUGCCACCAACUCUGCGAGCACUUCUGCCACCUCCACGGGCUCGGCAACUACACGUGCAUCUGCGAGGCAGGCUACCAGCUGGCCGCCGACCAGCACCGAUGUGAGGACGUGGACGACUGCGCGCAGGUGCCCAGUCCGUGCCCGCAGAGCUGCGUCAACACUGAGGGCGGCUUCCAGUGCCACUGCUUCCCAGACUUUGACCUGGUGGACGGCGAGUGCGUGGAGCCCGUGGACCCGUGCUUCGGCAAUAGCUGCGAGUACCAGUGCCAGCCGGUGGGCCGGUCCGAACACCAGUGCAUCUGCGCCGAGGGCUUCGCGCCUGUCCCCGGCGCCCCGCACAAGUGCCGGAUGUUCUGCAACCAGACUUCGUGCCCGGCUGACUGCGACCCCCACAACCCGGCCGUCUGCUGGUGCCCUGAAGGCUACAUCCUAGACGAGGGCUCCGUGUGCACGGACAUCAACGAGUGUGACAACGGCAUCUGCCCUGGCCAGUGCCACAACCUCCCUGGCACUUACGAGUGCAUCUGCGGGCCUGACUCGGCCCUCUCUGGCCAGACUGGCACCGACUGUGACCCCAUCCAGGUGAAUGAGGGCCAGGGCACCCUGGAGGACAAUGACGGCUCUGGGGAGCCCCCGGUCAGCCCGACUCCGGGCGGCACCGCACGCCCCUCGCCAGCACCUGCUGGUCCCCUGCACUCGGGCGUGCUCGUGGGCAUCUCCAUCGCAAGCCUGUCUCUGGUGGUGGCGCUUCUGGCCCUCCUUUGCCACCUGCGCAAGAAGCAGGGCGCCUCGCGGGGGGAGCUGGAGUACAAGUGCGGGGUCCCUGCCAAGGAGCUGAUGCUGCAGCAGGUGAAAACUGAGCGGACACCUCAGAAACUCUGA